UGAGGAACUUGCCCAUGAGCGGGGGACAACAUUCGGAAACGAAUGCUAAUACCCCAUAGGUGGAUUGGUCGCAUGACAAAUUCAUUAAAGGUGGCUUCGCUACCACUCAUGGAUAGCCUCGCGGCGUAUUAGCUAGUUGGUAAGGUAAUGGCUUACCAAGGCAGUGAUACGUAGCCGACUUGAGAGGGUGAUCGGCCACACUGGGACUGAGACACGGCCCAG
rnacentral:rRNA from 1 species